CAGAGCCUAAGUGGGGCUCAAACCCAUGAACCACGAGAUCAUGACCUGAGCUGAAACCAAGAGUCGGACACUCAACCGACCGAGCCACGCAGGCGCCCCUCUCAGAUUCACUUCUCAGUGUUGUUAUGCCACCACAUUUAUUCAAUGACAGCCGAAGUGUCUUAACUUUAUCAUAAAUACCAGUUGUCCCCUUCCCGGCUUCCUAUCUCAAGUGAGAAUCAUAAGGGUCGAACGUUACUACCACAUUAUUUUACUAGAAAUGCAGACAUACAGCGCAAUGCAAUGUGACAGGUUGUUUUCUUUCCUUUUUUCUUCAGCCUCUGUACAUCUGCUUAAGAGUGUUAUCUGGAUAAUGUUAUUUUUCAUUCUGCUUUAGUCAUGGUAUGUCAAAUGCGUUUGAAAUUCUAAGGACAAAAAUGCAUCCAUUCGUUGUUAAUUUCAUCCAUGUAUCCGUCCAUCUGCUCAUCCAUUUAUCCAUCCAUACGUUUACUUCAUCAUUUUUUUCUUUGCAUUUCUUUACAAAACUCUUUUGGUUCAGAUCCUGUGCAGGGUGCUAAAUAAAAGACACAUUUUUUUCUGCUGAGCUCAGAGGGAGAGGCCAGAGUUGUAAAUACUGAUUACAGCAUAAAGCUGUGGGGAGGCCCCACCCAGCGUGGGCUUGGGCAGGAAGAUUCCAGUGAGGAGAUGAGAAAGCCAAGAGGAACAGCAAAGAGCAACAGCUUGUAGGCCCUUGGGUUGGGCUAUCCUCAGAAGGACGUAAGUGCCCUGUGUCUGCGGUACCCAGUGUCCAGAAGUAGCCUGUGAAAUGAGGCACAGCACCUGGCCAAGCUUAUCCCAUUUUUCCCUCCCGGCAGCCCUGCGAUAGCUUUUUGGAAUUCAGAAUGUGGCUGUUGCCAGGUGGGGCCGGCCGGGGGCCAGCAAACUGCUGCUUGCACCUCAGAAGAUCCCACGUUAGAACUGAAGGGGAAAACUUUCUGUAGGCUGUUCAGGUAAUAGCGACUCUUAAGAAGCCUCCCAUCCCACCUUUGCCCUGCUCCAAAAUGAAAAUGUAUUUAGGUCUGUUCCUGGGAAACAUCUUACACUGGCUCCCCAAGCUCUCCUAAGGGAAGUCGGAGCUGACCCCCCAGGCCAGGCCCCUGAACUGCUCAUGAAGCAAUGCAGCACACACAGGAGGAAACCACAGCCCCCAAAGCCAGCGGCAGCAGGAGCAAAGAAGGCUGCAUUUGCUCUGGGAGAGGAGCUCCUUCCCGCUUCUUGCCAGGCGGAGGGGCUGAGGGUGUUGCUGCACCCCCAGUCAAAGCUCGUAUGGGUCAUCUUGGACUGGGCCCUGUCACUUCCCUAUUGUAUGCAAGAGCUAACCCCUCCUGACCACGAGGAGGAUGAAGAACCUCAUUACAGGAUUCAGUCACCACUGAGUGGGUAAACAUGUGUGUUUGUU